rnacentral:rRNA from 1 species
UACGUAGGGAGCAAGCGUUGUCCGGAAUCAUUGGGCGUAAAGCGUGCGCAGGCGGUUCUAUAAGACAGAUGUGAAAUCCCCGGGCUCAACCUGGGAACUGCAUUUGUGACUGUAGAGCUGGAGUACGGUAGAGGGGGAUGGAAUUCCGCGUGUAGCAGUGAAAUGCGUAGAUAUGCGGAGGAACACCGAUGGCGAAGGCAAUCCCCUGGACCUGUACUGACGCUCAUGCACGAAAGCGUGGGGAGCAAACAGG